rnacentral:sRNA from 1 species
UGCGGAAGGAUUCAUUAUCGUAUAAAAUGGAGGUGCUGGGGCUGUCGCUGACCUUUGAAAAAGGUCGUGCACGCCUGGAGUACAUCUCUCAUAUCCAUCUCACCCCUUUGUGCAUUGCCGCGUGGGUCCCCUUUUGGUUUGUUCCGAGGGGGACCUGCGUUUUUAUAUAGACACCCUUUGAAUGCAUGUGUAGAACGUCUUACUUUUUGCGAUCACACGCAAUCAAUACAACUUUCAACAACGGAUCUCUUGGCUCUCGCAUCGAUGAAGAACGCAGCGAAAUGCGAUACGUAAUGUGAAUWGCAGAAWUCAGUGAAUCAUCGAAUCUUUGAACGCACCUUGCGCCCCUUGGUAUUCCGAGGGGCACACCCGUUUGAGUGUCGUGAAUACUCUCAACCUUCUUGGUUUCUUUGACCACGAAGGCUUGGACUUUGGAGGUUUUUCUUGCUGGCCUCUUUUGAAGCCAGCUCCUCUUAAAUGAAUGGGUGGGGUCCGCUUUGCUGAUCCUCGACGUGAUAAGCAUUUCUUCUACGUCUCAGUGUCAGCUCGGAACCUGCUUUCCAACCGUCUWUCGACAAAGACAAUGUUCGAGUUGUGACUCGACCUUACAAACCUUGACCUCAAAUCGGGUGAGACUACCCGCUGAACUUAAGCAUAUCAAUAAGCGGAGGAA